AGAUAUAUAAAAUAUUAUACACAUGCAAAGGUAAUUUGUGUAUAUAUUUAUAAGUUUACAUACGUAUUUGGAUAAAUUUCAACAUUUUUUUUUGUUUUUUUAUAAAGUUUUAAAAGAGGAUAUUUUAAAAAGAGGUAUAUGAAAAGGGGUAUUUUUGAAAUUCUCUCAUAAACCAACUACGAAAAUGACCAACCAAACAAAUAUAUUAAUUUAUGGACAUGUGGUGUACCACGGGAUAAAUCCUAG
rnacentral:lncRNA from 1 species